AGCACGAUGGUUGAGGCGUUGGACUCAAAUUUCAAUGGUAGACAAUACCGCGUGGGUUCGAACCCCACUCGUGCUA
rfam:Caenorhabditis brenneri strain PB2801 C_brenneri-6.0.1_Cont101.5, whole genome shotgun sequence.